UGAGAUUGAUGAGAAUGAUGGGAGGAAGAGAGAUGGGGUGAGUUAGAGAUAGGGGUCGUGGUCAUUUCUCUGGUGCCCGAGACCCAUUUGUAGGGUCAGUGGGUCUGCCGCUUUUAUUGCUUUCUUUGUCCUUUUCACCUUUCAUCUCUCUUCCUGCCCUUUUUAUCUCCUUGUUUUCCUUGCUCGUUUCUCAUUCACCAUGAUCAUACAGACCCAUCUCUCUCUUUCUCUCCACCCUUAACUCUUUAUAUCUUUCGCCUCUCUCACAAUAUGUUUGGUUUAGAGGUCCUUUUUCUUGAGGAAAUAAAUAAGGGUGGUCUAGAGUUUGCUUUGGUUAAUUAGGUUUUUGAUUGAGAAAGAGGGGGAAAUGGAAGCUAUUUCUUUUGAGGGGAAUGUUGUCUGGCUCGAGGUCACUAAUGGGAUCUAUGAUUUUAUCUCAAUUGAUUGACUUUCUUUUAAAUUCUAGUAAAUUGAAUUGAGAGAUCAUGAUCAACUUAUAUUUAAUGAUGUCGGACCAGGCUUCAUUCCCCCCAAUUAUUUCUUCCUUUCAAAUCGUUGAUCACUAAAAUUAAUUUCCCUUCCAUUUUUGGUCUGGAUCUAAAAGAUGGUUGUAUACUUGUCUCUUCAUCUUUCUGUGCCACUUUUGAGAGUGGUGGUGGGUGGUAAUCUCCUCUCCUCUCCCUUUUGUUUUGUUUCUGCUUUUUCUUUAUCUUAUGGUUACCUUUAUGUUAAAGCUUUGAUCUGUGCCCUUUGGUCAACUCAUGUCCUUUGCAUGCUUGAAGAGAUCAUGGGCUACACCCAGCUGUUGCAUACGUAUGGAAAGUAGCUAGCUAGGGUUCCGUCCUUGAAUUUCCAUAACUUUUUUCUUAUGUAAUGUAGCUUAUAUUUGUAAGAUAAUUUGAUCCUUUGCUAAAACAAUUUAGUUUUCUUCUGUGAGUCAUUUGCUGGCGUGAAGCUUCUUCCAUUACCUUAGAGAGAGGUGGAAGAAUGAUUAAUCUUUCAACUUGCUAUAUAUGCUGAUCCAUCUAUUACUUGAAGUGAAACCCUGUUAUAACCUCUGUGGCUCGUGCAUAAACUAUGCUGUGAUUCAGUGCAUUUCACUCUAAAGAAGAGAAUAUGAUGUGAUGGACUGGACCUUUGAUUUUGCUUGACCAUGCAGUCUUCUUCUGCCAUACAUGAGCAGGAACUUGUAGUUUUGGACUAAAAGCUUUUGCUCCUGUCUUCUCUAAAAAGCUAGAAAUCUAAAUUCCUAACAUUCGAGGGGGAAACUUUGAUAUGCUUUACACUGGUAUGCAAAUUUUUGUUUUCAUGUUAAAAUGUAGGGAUAUGGAGCAUUUUUUUUGGCUGAAUAUAUAGUGACCAUAUUGUUGUGGUGUAGUUCUUUGCCGCAAUUUCACAUACAACAACAACAACAACAAUCUAUGUCUUAAUUUAUUGGCUAGAUUAUGUUAUUACUGUUAAGAAUUACAAGAAAAUGUAGGAUACAAACAUCCUCUCCGUGUGGUUUUGAUAAUUUACACAUGCACAUUAUUCUAAUUUAAUUAGGUUAAAGAGAGUUCAUCAUGUACUAACAGGAAAUCAAACACAAAACUAAGUGAAGGUGGUUACUCUUUAAGUUCUCUUAUUUGUAGAGUCCGUAAGGAGCAAAAACCGUAGAAAAAUGAAAGAAAGACGGAUAUUUAGAAAAGGAAACAGGUGAUCGGAAAGGUGAAUGAGAGAAGCCUCAUCAAGAAGACAACCUUGAUGUGUCUUCUUUGAUAGGCGUUUUUGCUUAGCUUAGAAUUUUCUUAUUUGCUUGGCGUUGUGGAGUAGUGCGUUCCAAUUUUCUCUUAUUCUGUCAUCAAUUUCUAAGUCCGAGCCAUAUGUACACUGAAUGCCUUUAAUGGUCUGACUCUCUCUCUCUCUCUCUCAUUAUUUACUAUUAAACAGUUUAGUCACAUCAGCAUUGAUGCCAUGGAUUCCUCUUUACCCUGACUGUGAUAAAUGACGACUAUGAUGUAUCUAUUAUUUGGAAGAAGUCAGAACUGUGUGCUAUUAGACCGCAUUGUUUGAAUUUUGUAUUUCAAGAAGUUAUUAAGAAUCUAGUACAGUUAUGUCA